rnacentral:rRNA from 1 species
ACAGGGAUUGCCCUAGUAACGGCGAGUGAAGCGGCAACAGCUCAAAUUUGAAAUCUGGCGUCUUUGGCGUCCGAGUUGUAAUUUGCAGAGGGCGCUUUGGCAUCGGCAGCGGUCCAAGUUCCUUGGAACAGGACGUCACAGAGGGUGAGAAUCCCGUACGUGGUCGCUAGCCUUUACCGUGUAAAGCCCCUUCGACGAGUCGAGUUGUUUGGGAAUGCAGCUCUAAAUGGGAGGUAAAUUUCUUCUAAAGCUAAAUACUGGCCAGAGACCGAUAGCGCACAAGUAGAGUGAUCGAAAGAUGAAAAGCACUUUGGAAAGAGAGUUAAAAAGCACGUGAAAUUGUU